CGUGUAGGCGGGAAUAUAAGUCAGAUGUGAAAUACCGAGGCUUAACCUCAGGGCUGCAUCUGAAACUAUGUUUCUUGAGUGUCGGAGAGGAAAGUGGAAUUCCCAGUGUAGCGGUGAAAUGCGUAGAUAUUGGGAGGAACACCAGUGGCGAAGGCGACUUUCUGGACGAUAACUGACGCUGAGGCGCGAAAGCGUGGGGAGCAAACAGGAUUAGAUACCCUGGUAGUCCACGCUGUAAACGAUGGAUACUAGGUGUAGGAGGUAUCGACCCCUUCUGUGCCGCAGUUAACACAAUAAGUAUCCCACCUGGGGAGUACGGCCGCAAGGUUGAA
rnacentral:rRNA from 1 species